CAUCUUAACAGGAAAUUUAGCUUCGGGCAAAUAGAGACAGGAAAAUGAAGCUUUCUUUAGACAGGCUCUCAUCUAAGCCCGACGUUUUAGAUUGAUUACGAUACU